UGAAAAAUAAAAUAAAAUCAUAUUUAGAGAAUAAAUAACAAAUAAUAAAUGUAUAUCAACUAAUAUGAAGACAUGUCAUGAAUCGUACCUAGUAAAAAUAAAAGACCAGAUCUGUCUCUGUCUUGUUUUGUAGCUUCCUCGAUUGAUGUCUGUAAUUAGCCACCCAACAAUUAACCUGUUCAUAAUAACCAAACAUUUUAUGUUAAUUAAGUUCAGUUUAAUUCAAAUAACCAAUGUUUGAUAAAAGAGUAGAAUUAAUUAAAAGAAGACAAAUUAUACUCACGACGGUGAUUUGGAAGAGAAAUGAAGGUGAAAAGGAAUCAAGGGUUCUUCUUCCAAAUAUAAUGAGAUGAUUGAUAGAUUGAAGUAGAAUAAGAAUAAUCAAAAUCAG
rnacentral:lncRNA from 1 species